GACGAACGCUGGCGGCGUGCUUAACACAUGCAAGUCGAACGGAAAGGCCCUGCUUUUGUGGGGUGCUCGAGUGGCGAACGGGUGAGUAACACGUGAGUAACCUGCCCUUGACUUUGGGAUAACUUCAGGAAACUGGGGCUAAUACCGGAUAGGAGCUCCUGCUGCAUGGUGGGGGUUGGAAAGUUUCGGCGGUUGGGGAUGGACUCGCGGCUUAUCAGCUUGUUGGUGGGGUAGUGGCUUACCAAGGCUUUGACGGGUAGCCGGCCUGAGAGGGUGACCGGCCACAAUGGGACUGAGGUACGGCCCAGUCUCCUACGGGAGGCAGCAGUGGGGAAUAUUGCACAAUGGGCGGAAGCCUGAUGCAGCAACGCCGCGUGCGGGAUGACGGCCUUCGGGUUGUAAACCGCUUUCGCCUGUGACGAAGCGUGAGUGACGGUAAUGGGUAAAGAAGCACCGGCUAACUACGUG
rnacentral:rRNA from 1 species